UUUGUCAUCCCUCAUUUUGACAACAGUUACCAGAGCGACUAAAAUAACGAGAAAAAGUAACGAGGAAGAUGAAGACGGUUGUGAUAAUCUGCGUCUUCUUGUUAGCGCUCUGCUGGCUAGGUGCUCAAGGUGUGUCCAACUGUAUACCUGGUGGCACGUGCUUUGUUGACCCUUGCAGCUUCAACCCGUGUCCAGGCACAUGUGUCUUAGAAUGUGGAUGUGCCUACCACUGUGCCUAGAGGCUCACAGCUAUGGUCGACACCAGUGAAUGUUGCCGCUGUACGGUGCCGUGUGAAUUUGUUCUACCAAUAAAACUACACUACUAACCAUUAAGGUGUACAUGGAAAAUGUUUGCCUGACUUGGUAGAAUAUUGUAUUACUCUUGUAUACAUCAUGCAAUUUGAAUUAGCCAAUAAACUCACUGCUUAAUG